AUUGAACGCUGGCGGCAGGCCUAACACAUGCAAGUCGAGCGGGGUUUUCGGACCUAGCGGCGGACGGGUGAGUAAUGCGUAGGAAGCUACCCGAUAGAGGGGGAUACCAGUUGGAAACGACUGUUAAUACCGCAUAAUGUCUACGGACCAAAGUGUGGGACCUUCGGGCCACAUGCUAUCGGAUGCGCCUACGUGGGAUUAGCUAGUUGGUGGGGUAAUGGCUCACCAAGGCGACGAUCCCUAGCUGGUUUGAGAGGAUGAUCAGCCACACUGGAACGGAGACACGGUCCAGACUCCUACGGGAGGCAGCAGUGGGGAAUAUUGGACAAUGGGCGCAAGCCUGAUCCAGCCAUGCCGCGUGUGUGAAGAAGGCCUUCGGGUUGUAAAGCACUUUCAGUAGGGAGGAAGGGUGUUGUGUUAAUAGCACAGCAUUUUGACGUUACCUACAGAAGAAGCACCGGCUAACUCUGUGCCAGCCGCCACCGUAAUAC
rnacentral:rRNA from 1 species